UACGUAGGGUCCGAGCGUUGUCCGGAAUUACUGGGCGUAAAGAGCUCGUAGGUGGUUUGUCGCGUUGUUCGUGAAAACUCACAGCUCAACUGUGGGCGUGCGGGCGAUACGGGCAGACUUGAGUACUGCAGGGGAGACUGGAAUUCCUGGUGUAGCGGUGGAAUGCGCAGAUAUCAGGAGGAACACCGGUGGCGAAGGCGGUUCUCUGGGCCUGUACUGACGCUGAGGAACGAAAGCGUGGGGAGCGAACAGG
rnacentral:rRNA from 1 species